GGAAGAUCUCAUACUACUGGAGGCCUGACAGCUGGUUUUCAGCAGUGCUCACGCUAGCGGGAGUUCUCUUCAUGAUGGGUCUUUAUGCAGUUGUGUGGUGCCUCUUCAAAGAUGUUCAAUUCUGCUCAAGACUAUUUCCUCACUGUCACAGACAGAAGAGUCAACCAAGUCUGACUGUACAGGAUGAAAAGGAUGCUGAGCAGGUACCAAGUGACAGAAAUGCAGUAUCGACUGAACAACCAGACAAGGGGAUGAAAAGAAAUUUUUUUCAACGGGAGACAUUUUGACUUUAACCAGAAGAAAGGUUACUAUAUCUCCAUGUUGCUUUAUUUGAAAAGGUCUUUGAAAACACAGCUUUUUAAAAAUAAAAGACCAUCAAGUUUUCCAACAUAGCCUGGUACUUUUGUAUAACUUGUCACAUGCUCUGAUGCACCUCUUUUCUACCACUGCACUUGGGCUAAGAUUUAUAUGCC
rnacentral:lncRNA from 1 species